rnacentral:rRNA from 1 species
GACGAACGCUGGCGGCGUGCCUAAUACAUGCAAGUCGAGCGAUGAAGAUUGGUGCUUGCACCAAUUUGAAGAGCAGCGAACGGGUGAGUAACGCGUGUGGAAUCUGCCUUUGAGCGGGGGACAACAUUUGGAAACGAAUGCUAAUACCGCAUAACAACUUUAAACAUAAGUUUUAAGUUUGAAAGAUGCAAUUGCAUCACUCAAUGAUGACCUCGCGUUGUAUUAGCUAGUUGGUGAGGUAAAGGCUCACUAAGGGGAUGAUACAUAGCCGACCUGAGCGGAUGAUCAGCCACAUUGAGACUGAGACACGGCCCAAACGCCUACGGGAGGCAGCAGUAGGGAAUCGUCGGCAAUGGACGAAAGUCUGACCGAGCAACGCCGCGUGAGUGAAGAGGGUUUUCGGAUCGUAAAACUCUGUUGGUAGAGAAGAACGUUGGUGAGAGUGGAAAGCUCAUCAAGUGACGGUAACUACCCAGAAAGGGACGGCUAACUACGUG